rnacentral:snoRNA from 1 species
UUGGCGUGAUGAGGAAAAUGUGUUUAUUUCUCAGAUUAACUCAUGAUUGGAAUUAAAACAUACCCUCCUACUCAUUCUGA